CCUACGGGCGGCAGCAGUGGGGAAUAUUGGACAAUGGGGGGAACCCUGAUCCAGCCAUGCCGCGUGUGUGGAGAAGGCCCUCGGGUUGUAAAGCACUUUCAGCGAGGAAGAACGGCUGGUGGUUAAUACCCAUCAGCAAAGACAUCACUCACAGAAGAAGCACCGGCUAACUCCGUGCCAGCAGCCGCGGUAAUACGGAGGGUGCGAGCGUUAAUCGGAAUUACUGGGCGUAAAGCGCGCGUAGGUGGCUUGAUAAGCCGGUUGUGAAAGCCCCGGGCUCAACCUGGGAACGGCAUCCGGAACUGUCAAGCUAGAGUGCAGGAGAGGAGGGUAGAAUUCCCGGUGUAGCGGUGAAAUGCGUAGAGAUCGGGAGGAAUACCAGUGGCGAAGGCGGCCUUCUGGACUGACACUGACGCUGAGGUGCGAAAGCGUGGGUAGCAAACAGGAUUAGAUACCCUGGUAGUC
rnacentral:rRNA from 1 species